rnacentral:rRNA from 1 species
UACGUAGGGGGCAAGCGUUGUCCGGAUUUAUUGGGCGUAAAGAGCGUGUAGGCGGUUUGGUAGGUCCGCUGUGAAAACUCGAGGCUCAACCUCGAGACGCCGGUGGAAACCAUCAGACUAGAGUCCGGAAGAGGAGAGUGGAAUUCCUGGUGUAGCAGUGAAGUGCGUAGAGAUGUGGAGGAACACCGAUGGCGAAGGCAGCCCCCUGGGUCAAGAUUGACGCUCAUGCACGAAAGCGUGGGGAGCAAACAGG